rnacentral:rRNA from 1 species
GUUGAACGCUGGCGGCAUGCCUAACACAUGCAAGUCGAGCGGAAGAAGGGAGCUUGCUCCUGGAUUCAGCGGCGGACGGGUGAGUAAUGCCUAUGAAUCUGCCUGGUAGUGGGGGAUAACGUCCGGAAACGGGCGCUAAUACCGCAUACGUCCUGAGGGAGAAAGUGGGGGAUCUUCGGACCUCACGCUAUCAGAUGAGCCUAGGUCGGAUUAGCUAGUUGGUGGGGUAAAGGCCUACCAAGGCGACGAUCCGUAACUGGUCUGAGAGGAUGAUCAGUCACAGUGGAAGUGAGACACGGUCCAGACUCCUACGGGAGGCAGCAGUGGGGAAUAUUGGAAAAUGGGCGAAAGCCUGCUCCAGCCAUGCAGCGUGUGUGAAGAAGGUCUUCGGAUUGUAAAGCACUUUACGUUGGGAGGACGGGCAGUAAGUGAAUACCUUGCUGUUUUGACGUUACCAACAGAAUAAGCACCGGCUAACUUCGUG